UACAGAGGUCUCAAGCGUUGUUCGGAUUCAUUGGGCGUAAAGGGUGCGUAGGCGGCGCGGUAAGUCGGGUGUGAAAUCUCGGAGCUUAACUCCGAAACUGCAUUCGAUACUGCCGUGCUUGAGGACUGGAGAGGAGACUGGAAUUUACGGUGUAGCGGUGAAAUGUGUAGAGAUCGGGAGGAACACCGGUGGCGAAGGCGGGGUCUCUGG
rnacentral:rRNA from 1 species